rnacentral:lncRNA from 1 species
GUUGGAUUAAAAACAGUCUACUUGUGUGUUCCGAUUAUGUUAAUCAUUAGUGACUGGCAGGGCAGCCUGCACAGCUUGUGCCUUUGGGAUGUGAAAGCUCACUGCUCUGUGUGUCUGACUCUCUGCAUGCGAACGCACCGACUCGACUCCCAUAAUUCAACAGGCAACAAAGGAAGAAAGAAACAGGCCGCGAGCUACAAAAGGGUUAGCCCACCUUGGCUAGAAGAUAUCACGUUAGUGUGUUUAUCCGCCCGUCGCUUCACUUCUGAUGCUGCUGGUCCACAUUGUGCAUGACUUUUUUCAUGUGGGCUGAUGGGAGGACACCGUGGAUAGAACUGUCGUCAGGAUACCUGGAGAGCCACCCCAUGCCCCC